rnacentral:rRNA from 1 species
UACGGGGGGGGCAAGCGUUGUUCGGAAUUACUGGGCGUAAAGGGCUUGUAGGUGGCCAACUAAGUCCGACGUGAAAUCCCUCGGCUUAACCGGGGAACUGCGUCUGAUACUGGAUGGCUUGAGUUUGGGAGAGGGAUGCGGAAUUCCAGGUGUAGCGGUGAAAUGCGUAGAUAUCUGGAGAAACACCGGUGGCGAAGGCGGCAUCCUGGACCAACACUGACGCUGAGUGAGCGAAAGCCAGGGGAGCAAACGGG